rnacentral:rRNA from 1 species
UGGGGAAUAUUGCACAAUGGGCGCAAGCCUGAUGCAGCCAUGCCGCGUGUAUGAAGAAGGCCUUCGGGUUGUAAGGUACUUUCAGUCGGGAGGAAGGUGGUAAGGUUAAUAACCUUGGCAAUUGACGUUACCGACAGAAGAAGCACCGGCUAACUCGGUGCCAGCAGCCGCGGUAAUACGGAGGGUGCAAGCGUUAAUCGGAAUUACUGGGCGUAAAGCGCACGCAGGCGGUUGAUUGAGUCAGAUGUGAAAUCCCCGGGCUUAACCCGGGAAUUGCAUCUGAUACUGGUCAGCUAGAGUCUUGUAGAGGGGGGUAGAAUUCCAUGUGUAGCGGUGAAAUGCGUAGAGAUGUGGAGGAAUACCGGUGGCGAAGGCGGCCCCCUGGACAAAGACUGACGCUCAGGUGCGAAAGCGUGGGGAGCAAACAGG